rnacentral:rRNA from 1 species
GCGAACGGGUGAGUAACACGUGGGCAAUCUGCCCUGCACUUCGGGACAAGCCCUGGAAACGGGGUCUAAUACCGGAUAUGAUCACCGGCCGCAUGGUCUGGUGGUGGAAAGCUCCGGCGGUGCAGGAUGAGCCCGCGGCCUAUCAGCUUGUUGGUGGGGUGAUGGCCUACCAAGGCGACGACGGGUAGCCGGCCUGAGAGGGCGACCGGCCACACUGGGACUGAGACACGGCCCAGACUCCUACGGGAGGCAGCAGUGGGGAAUAUUGCACAAUGGGCGAAAGCCUGAUGCAGCGACGCCGCGUGAGGGAUGACGGCCUUCGGGUUGUAAACCUCUUUCAGCAGGGAAGAAGCGAGAGUGACGGUACCUGCAGAAGAAGCACCGGCUAACUACGUGCCAGCAGCCGCGGUAAUACGUAGGGUGCGAGCGUUGUCCGGAAUUAUUGGGCGUAAAGAGCUCGUAGGCGGCGUGUCACGUCGGAUGUGAAAGCCCGGGGCUUAACCCUGGGUCUGCAUUCGAUACGGGCAGGCUAGAGUUCGGUAGGGGAGAUCGGAAUUCCUGGUGUAGCGGUGAAAUGCGCAGAUAUCAGGAGGAACACCGGUGGCGAAGGCGGAUCUCUGGGCCGAUACUGACGCUGAGGA